UGAGAUCCACCGCCUCCCGAGGCCUUUAUCUAGCCCAGCUCACUAGGAAGCCGCGAGAGGAGGAGCUCAACCGGGCAUCGCCAGCCAGAGAAGAAGGAGAGGCGCGGAUGCCAGCCAGGGAAGCGGAUUGGCUCGCCUCCGCCAUGUCGUGAGCGCCACCGCCGCCUCUACAUCCGCCUUGCUCUGCAUAGCACCAUGUGUGCGGCGGCGGGACAGGCAACCACUGGAUGAUUUUGGGGAGCGAGCAUCAAGCAAUGGCCGAUGCCAUGGGAUUAUAGCAAGCAACCGUCACUGAGUUAUUUUUUCUUGCAUGAAAUUUUUCUACUGAUUCCUCAAUGCUCUGUUCAUUACUUUCUUCUUGUUUUAUUGUUUUUUUACUUUCCAAUUUCGAUGUAAUGGAUAUUGAUUGUGGUAGUCUAGAUAUCCCCUUGUAUUCCUUGGGUUUUAAUAAAGUUCAAAUAAUAAUGGAUUUUUUUCGUGCUGCAAAAUAUAUCUCAAAACCUUCCCAUUUUUGUCUCCAAAGGACAAAGGAAAUCUUGGAUUAGUUAGCUUAUUUUUACAGUUCAUAUCCAUUGAACUAUAUGUAGUUUUCAACUAGACCUCUUUUUAUAGUUCCUAUCCAUUGAACUAUAUGCACUGUAGACGAACAACGUGACAUGAGAUGUUGCAACGCUGGGCCAAACAAUCAUACUGUAGCAGCAAUAGUCGGCCCAUGAUAAAUCUUUGUUAAGUGCUUCUUUCUCUUUACCUCUUUACUCAUGUGUCUCUGACUUUGAUUUCACAGUAGUAUAUGUUUUUAGCUAGGCACAGUGUUUACAGAUUUGAUAAAGAAGGGUAGAUGAAGAAUCUAUCAGAAGAUUUUGCUGAAUGGAACUUGCAUUUUGAUGUUAUGAGUGUAGAAACAUAUUCUGCACUUUUAGGAAAUUAGAUAAUAGGACCGACUAAAGGAGAACUUCGGUUAAACUAUUUCUUUAUUUGUUUGUGCAACCAACCUUAUUUGGUUCCGACUGGAAGAUAAUAUGACCGGCUAACGGAAAACUUGGCUAAAAUAUAUCUUUAUUAAUUGUGCAACAAUGCUUAUUUGGUUUUGAUCGAUUGCUCGACAUGUUGAAUAAUGGUAGUGUGCAUGUGUGGCAGUGCAUUUUUUUCCUUCAUUUUGAGAAUUUACGUUUUAGCUACAGAGUAGGAGGUGCGAAUGGCCGGUCCAGAAGCUCCUUAAAACAAUUCGAUGAAAGGUAGACUUUUAUUUCUUUCUUCUUUUCUUCUCUGUCCCUGAUCUGACAGCUUUGGCUGUAGCCUUUGUUUGCUUGAAAAUCUCAAAUCAAGAGGGCAUGGCUUGAUUGCUAUCAAUAUUUUGCGCUGCCUACAAGAACUUAGAACCUAUAGGACAACAAAGUACACAUACUGACAAGGUCCUAUGAUAUAACAGUGAAUUUGUUUCUUCAUUUCCCAUAGGAAUAUUGCUGCGAUGAAGCCUAGAAAAGUUGAUGUAUUCUACUCUCUGAGUGAACUGCUAUACAUCAAAUAGGGAAGAAGAUCGGAAAAUUCAACUUCCUAUUACAGAUGGCUUAUUAACAAGCAACCUUACUAUGCUACCAGUGUGUUUUUAUUUUCAAACUGUAAUAUCAGUUUAAGAUCUUAGAUACUCAUCUUUGCACUCCAUUUGUAAGACGGUAUUGCCUGCUUCUAUUUGCUAUUACCUAAGAUCAACAAUUAGCGUGGCCCUUUGUGUACUUUUCUAUUCGCCUUUUUUGUUUGACACAGCUCCUAUGUUUCUAUCCGGAUUACAGCUACUAUGGAGGCCCUUGGGUGUUGUGGUGUAUGGGCCCAGAGACAAUAGCCCAGCCAAAAUGCCCAUAGGUAUAUCAUAUAUUUCUAUGAAGACAGACAGAAGAAACCCUAGAUCGGCAAAGUGUUCUCUCCCGCACAUUCAGUGCCUCGCUCUCAAACAAUGACCACACCGGCGCGGGCGCAGUCAAUAUUUCUAGCCGCUGCUUCUCCAUGUGUUUCAGCAUCUGGAUGCCCGGAGAAGUCCUCAGCAGGACCAUAGAGAUGCCACUGGAUGCAGAGGAGAUACAUGCCAAGUUUUCUCCGGAUGAAGAAUACUCCAACAAUAACCAAUCUGAAGACCAGCUGCCUAAAGUAGCUUCCUUUCUGAAAAAUAGACAAGCAUUCCUUUGACCAGAAUGAUUUCCUUGGUAUACACUGAAGAUGUUCUGAAUAUUUGAUGCAGCAGGAAGUGCCAGACAUGGAAGAGGCCCUUAGCCACUUCUCAUCGGAUUACACUGAGUAUGAGAAUUCACAACCCCGUUAUGGGGUUGGUGAUUAUAUAGUAGAAAACAACCGAUAGUUUAGUUAUCUGUUGUAGAUAGUUUUUCUACGCCUAUUUCCUCUCAGUAAGAUGCGUAAUUUAAGCUUCAUAGGCUUAUUAU